GGGGCCGUAGCUCAGUUGGGAGAGCGCAGCGUUCGCAACGCUGAGGUCAGGGGUUCGAAUCCCCUCGGCUCCA
rnacentral:tRNA from 2 species